UUUAUCGUUUUGAUAGUAAGAUCUUCCUUCUCCCCCACCGUAUGGAUUAUUUCGUGCAUUUAUCCCCCCAUUUUGAUUCUGAAAUCUUAUUUCAGUGUUCUAAAGAUUCUAGGUUUGAGAAAGAAAAAAAAGUUCGAUGGUCGUGGGAAGACUACGGUAACUAAAAGGCCCCAUCUUUUUCUUUUUUUCUUUUGAUUCUUUUUUAUUUUUGAGUCAUUAUAUGUUUGGAGUGCUUCAACAUUGGUAAUUUUGUGAUUGUGAAGGCUGGAUGUAGAUGCUGGUCAUACAGCGACUCUGGAUGUAGAUCAUGUCAGGGACUUGGUUCUAAACUACUCAAGAUUUUUGACAAAAUGCUGAUUUUCUUAGGGUCAAUCUUCUAAUCUUCAUUAAGCGCGACCGCGCAUUACAUGGUGUUUGAUUUUUUCUUCUUAUAUCAGAAAAAGAAUAAACCUUAAUAUGCAAAAGAGAAACUUUACGAAAAUGUUGAUAAUGACAAAAAGAUAUCUUUCGUGGACUAAAUUACGAAAAUGUAGAACUUUGCUGACACUAAAUUUAAGGAUACCUGUGAUAUUCGUUUUACAAAAUACACAUAACUCGCUUGUUCUUCGAGGUCCUCACCUAUAUACCAUUUAUACUGCAGCACUGUGCUUGUGCGAUGCUUGAAGUGGGGAUUCAGGCCGUCGACGGUCACAAACCAUUUCCAUUCCAUUGUAAAAUAUAAUUGGAUCAUGUAGAAGUGAAACACAACGACCUUUAUGAUUCAGAUUGUGACAUAUGUACGAUUUACCAAAAUAUCGUAUUGAUGGACUUCAGAUUUGGGCCAUAUAUAGUAUACAAUAAAUAUAAUGGAUUUAUGGACUGUGUCAUUGCCUCUAAUUAUAUUUCGCAUCCAUGUCCAUUUGUUUCUAUCUUCAUUACCAAUCCUUGCAAUGGUGCAUAAUGAGUUACACUAUCAUGACUUUUGAUAUUUUGUGUGAGUUGAUACUAAUUUCAGGACGACUGCUACUUUUCUUUUGUGUGUGCAAUAAAAAACGAUCAUUCCUCAUGUAUUUAUGAGGUAUUAAUCUUAGAUGAGGACGUGGAAAGCGCUUGAUAGAUCCUGUGCAGCCUACGCUAGAAGGAAGAUGGGAGAAGCUUCUAAGCAGAGGAUGAGUGUUAUCUGCGGACACUCUAACUUGCAAGUCUUCCUCGAUCCCGUUUGAUGAGAGUUAAGGUUCUGUUCAGAUACUUCGAAAAAAGGUGGGUGUGAUCAGUGAAAACUUUGAACUAUAACUCAAAUAUCCAAUUACUUUUCUCCAGCAAGUUGGUGGUGGUGCAUUUCUUGCAUUUCAAGCAAAGGAAGAAGUUCAACAGCCA